GAUGAACGCUAGCGGCAGGCUUAACACAUGCAAGUCGAGGGGUAGAAAUAGCUUGCUAUUUUGAGACCGGCGCACGGGUGCGUAACGCGUAUGCAAUCUGCCUUGUACUGGGGAAUAGCCCGGAGAAAUCCGGAUUAAUGCCCCAUGGUAUUUUUGUGUGGCAUCACACGAUUAUUAAAGAUUUAUCGGUACAAGAUGAGCAUGCGUCCCAUUAGUUAGUUGGUGUGGUAACGGCACACCAAGACGAUGAUGGGUAGGGGUCCUGAGAGGGAGAUCCCCCACACUGGAACUGAGACACGGUCCAGACUCCUACGGGAGGCAGCAGUGGGGAAUUUUGCGCAAUGGGGGAAACCCUGACGCAGCAACGCCGCGUGAGUGAUGAAGGCUCUUGGGUCGUAAAGCUCUGACAGAGGGAAAGAAGUGUAUGGUGGUUAAUACCCAUUGUACUUGACGGCACCCUCAAAGGAAGCACCGGCUAACUCCGUGCCAGCCGCCGCAGUAACAC
rnacentral:rRNA from 1 species